rnacentral:rRNA from 1 species
AGUGAACGCUGGCGGUAGGCCUAACACAUGCAAGUCGAACGGCAGCACAGUAAGAGCUUGCUCUUACGGGUGGCGAGUGGCGGACGGGUGAGGAAUACAUCGGAAUCUACUUUUUCGUGGGGGAUAACGUAGGGAAACUUACGCUAAUACCGCAUACGACCUACGGGUGAAAGCAUGGGAUCUUCGGACCUUGCGCGAUUGAAUGAGCCGAUGUGGGAUUAGCUAGUUGGCGGGGUAAAGGCCCACCAAGGCGACGAUCCGUAGCUGGUCUGAGAGGAUGAUCAGCCACACUGGAACUGAGACACGGUCCAGACUCCUACGGGAGGCAGCAGUGGGGAAUAUUGGACAAUGGGCGCAAGCCUGAUCCAGCCAUACCGCGUGGGUGAAGAAGGCGUUCGGGUUGUAAAGCCCUUUUGUUGGGAAAGAAAAGCAGCAGGUUAAUACCCCGCUGUUCUGACGGUACCCAAAGAAUAAGCACCGGCUAACUUCGUG